GAACGCUGGCGGCGUGGAUAAGACAUGCAAGUCGAACGGGAGAAUUGCUAGCUUGCUAAUAAUUCUCUAGUGGCGCACGGGUGAGUAACACGUGAGUAACCUGCCUCUUAGUGGGGGAUAGCCCUGGGAAACCGGGAUUAAUACCGCAUACGAUUGAAAGAUCAAAGCAGCAAUGCGCUAGGAGAUGGGCUCGCGGCCUAUUAGUUAGUUGGUGAGGUAACGGCUCACCAAGGCGAUGACGGGUAGCCGGUCUGAGAGGAUGUCCGGCCACACUGGAACUGAGACACGGUCCAGACACCUACGGGUGGCAGCAGUCGAGAAUCAUUCACAAUGGGGGCAACCCUGAUGGUACGACGCCGCGUGGGGGAACGAAGGUCUUCGGAUUGUAAACCCCUGUCAUGUGGGAGCAAAUUAAAAAGAUAGUACCACAAGAGGAAGAGACGGCUAACUCUGUGCCAGCAGCCGCGGUAAUACAGAGGUCUCAAGCGUUGUUCGGAAUCACUGGGCGUAAAGCGUGCGUAGGCUGUUUCGUAAGUCGUGUGUGAAAGGCAGGGGCUCAACCCCUGGAUUGCACAUGAUACUGCGAGACUAGAGUAAUGGAGGGGGAACCGGAAUUCUCGGUGUAGCAGUGAAAUGCGUAGAUAUCGAGAGGAACACUCGUGGCGAAGGCGGGUUCCUGGACAUUAACUGACGCUGAGGCACGAAGGCCAGGGGAGCGAAAGGGAUUAGAUACCCCUGUAGUCCUGGCAGUAAACGGUGCACGCUUGGUGUGCGGGGAAUCGACCCCCUGCGUGCCGGAGCUAACGCGUUAAGCGUGCCGCCUGGGGAGUACGGUCGCAAGAUUAAAACUCAAAGAAAUUGACGGGGACCCGCACAAGCGGUGGAGUAUGUGGCUUAAUUCGAUGCAACGCGAAGAGCCUUACCUGGGCUUGACAUGUAAUGAACAACAUGUGAAAGCAUGCGACUCUUCGGAGGCGUUACACAGGUGCUGCAUGGCCGUCGUCAGCUCGUGUCGUGAGAUGUUUGGUUAAGUCCAGCAACGAGCGCAACCCCUGUUGCCAGUUACCAGCACGUCAAGGCGGGGACUCUGGCGAGACUGCCCAGAUCAACUGGGAGGAAGGUGGGGACGACGUCAGGUCAGUAUGGCCCUUAUGCCCAGGGCUGCACACGUACUACAAUGCCCAGUACAGAGGGGGCCGAAGCCGCGAGGCGGAGGAAAUCCUGAAAACUGGGCCCAGUUCGGACUGUAGGCUGCAACCCGCCUACACGAAGCCGGAAUCGCUAGUAAUGGCGCAUCAGCUACGGCGCCGUGAAUACGUUCCCGGGUCUUGUACACACCGCCCGUCACAUCAUGGAAGCCGGUCGCACCCGAAGUAUCUGAAGCCAACCGCAAGGAGGCAGGGUCCUAAGGUGAGACUGGUAACUGGGAUGAA
rnacentral:rRNA from 1 species